rnacentral:tRNA from 1 species
GUGUGUUUGUAUUGGUAGAGCAUGAGAUUCUUAACCUCAGGGUCGUGGGUUUGAGCCCCACAUUGGACA